UGGGGAAUAUUGGACAAUGGGCGCAAGCCUGAUCCAGCCAUGCCGCGUGAGUGAUGAAGGCCCUAGGGUUGUAAAGCUCUUUCACCGGUGAAGAUAAUGACGGUAACCGGAGAAGAAGCCCCGGCUAACUUCGUGCCAGCAGCCGCGGUAAUACGAAGGGGGCUAGCGUUGUUCGGAUUUACUGGGCGUAAAGCGCACGUAGGCGGACUAUUAAGUCAGGGGUGAAAUCCCGGGGCUCAACCCCGGAACUGCCUUUGAUACUGGUAGUCUUGAGUUCGAGAGAGGUGAGUGGAAUUCCGAGUGUAGAGGUGAAAUUCGUAGAUAUUCGGAGGAACACCAGUGGCGAAGGCGGCUCACUGGCUGGAUACUGACGCUGAGGUGCGAAAGCGUGGGGAGCAAACAGG
rnacentral:rRNA from 1 species